CACCUUUCAGGGUCGCUCCUGGAGAGUUUCCAGUCCUCUACCAGUCUCCGGUACAAGAGGGAGAGUCAAGCAGAGGUCUAUCCGUUCCAUUCCUAGCUUGGGCAGUGACUAGCGAGUGGAAGGCAAUCUGCUACAAGU
rfam:Ornithorhynchus anatinus chromosome 10, whole genome shotgun sequence.